rfam:Pteropus alecto contig102930, whole genome shotgun sequence.
GUCUACGGCCAUGCCACCCUGAACAAGCCCGAUGUCUGAUCUCAGAAGCUAAGCAGGGUCGGGCCUGGUUAGUACUUGGAUGGGAGACCACCUAGGAAGACCAGGUGCUGUAGGCA